ensembl:lncRNA
AGGGACACAUUGAGACCCAUAGACAACCAUAGGGACCCAUAGAUUGACAUAUAGGGACCCAUAGAGACACAUAGGGACGCAUAGAGACCCAUAGACAACCAUUGAGACCCGUAGGGACACAUAGAGACCCAUAGAUUGACCCAUAGAGACACAUAGGGACGCAUAGAGACCCAUAGACAACCAUUGAGACCCAUAGGGACCCAUAGAGAUCAAGGGGGACACAUAGAGACCCAUAGAUUGACCCAUAGGGACCCAUAGGGACACAUACGGACACAUAGAUACCCAUAGAUUGACCCAUAGAGACACAUAGGGACACAUAGAGACCCAUAGGGACCCAUAGGGACACAUAAGGACUCAUAGAGACACAUAGGGACCCAUAGAGACCCAUAGGGACCCCAUAGAGACCCAUAGAUUGACCCACAGGGACCCAUAGAGACACAUAGGGACGCAUAGAGACCCAUAGACAACCAUUGAGACCCAUAGAGACCCAUAGGGACCCAUAGGGACCCAUAGAGACCCACAGACAACCAUUGGGACCCAUAGGGACCCAUAGAUUGACCCAUAGGGACCCAUAGAGACACAUAGACAACCAUAGGGACCCAUAGAGACCCAUAGAUUGACCCAUAGGGACCCAUAGGGACACAUUGAGACCCAUAGAGACCCAUAGACAACCAUUGGGACCCAUAGAGACCCAUAGACAACCAUAGGGACCCAUAGGGACCCAUAGAUUGACCCAUAGAUUGACCCUUAGGGACACAUAGGGACCCAUAGGGACACAUUGAGACCCAUAGACAACCAUAGGGACCCAUAGGGACCCAUAGGGACCCAUUGAGCCCAAUAGAUUGACCCAUAGGGACCCACUGAGACCCACAGAUUGACCCAUAGGGACCCAUAGAGACACAUAAGGACUCAUAGAGACACAUUGGGACCCAUUGAGACCCAUAGGGACCCAUAGAGACCCAUAGAUUGACCCAUAGAGACACAUAGGGACACAUAGAGACCCAUAGGGACCCAUAGGGACCCAUAGAUUGACCCAUAGAGACACAUAGGGACCCAUAGAGACACAUUGGGACCCAUAGAGACCCAUAG